UACGAAGGGGGCUAGCGUUGCUCGGAAUCACUGGGCGUAAAGCGCACGUAGGCGGUUUGUUAAGUCGGAUGUGAAAUCCCUCGGCUCAACUGGGGAGGGUCACGCGAUACUGAUCGACUGGAAGGCAGGAGAAGGGUAGUGGAAUUCCCGGUGUAGUGGUGAAAUGCGUAGAUAUCGGGAGGAACACCAGUGGCGAAAGGGCGACUACCUGGCCCUGUUCUUCGACGCUGAGGC
rnacentral:rRNA from 1 species